rnacentral:rRNA from 1 species
UGUGUAGGCGGUUCUUUAAGUUUGGUGUGAAAUCUCCCGGCUCAACCGGGAGGGUGCGCCGAAUACUGAGGGACUAGAGUGUGGGAGAGGAAAGUGGAAUUCCUGGUGUAGCGGUGAAAUGCGUAGAUAUCAGGAGGAACACCGGUGGUGUAGACGGCUUUCUGGACCAUAACUGACGCUGAGACACGAAAGCGUGGGUAGCAAACAGGAUUAGAUACCCUGGUAGUCCACGCCCUAAACGAUGCAUAUUUGGUGUGGGUCAUUCAGUUGAUCCGUGCCGGAGCUAACGCGUUAAAUAUGCCGCCUGGGGAGUACAGUCGCAAGGCUGAA